GAUUCUAGUAUAGCAACUAUACGGCGAAACUGCGAAUGGCUCAUUAAAUCAGUUAUCGUAUUUUGAUAGUACCUACUACCUGGAUUACCCUGGUUUUUCUAAACUAAUACCUUGUUAAAACCCCCACUUUCGAAAGGGUGUAUUUAUUUAAUUAAAAACCCAUGGCCCUUCGGGCUCCCUGGUGAUUCCUAAUAACUUCACCAAUCCCAUGGGCCUUGCCCCGCCAUGGUUCCUUUCAAUUUCCUCCCCUUCCACUUUUCACUGGUGGGACAUGGCCCUACCAGGUUACCACCGGUAACCGAGGAAUUAGGCUUGAACCCCGAAAAGGAACCCGAAAAAACGGUACCAACUUCCAAGAAAGGAACAAGGGCCCAAAUUACCCCAUCCCCAACCCGGGAAGGAAUGGCCAAAAAUAAUGAAACCGGGCUUCUUUGGGUCCUGGAAUUGGAAAGAAUACCAAUUAAAUCCCCUAACCAAGAACCAUUGGAAGGGAAAUCUGGGGGCCACAACCCCCGGAAUUUCCACUUCCAUAACGGAAAAUAAAAGUGGUGGCAUUAAAAAACUCCUAAUUGAACCCUGGGGCCGGGUGGGCCGGCCGGCCUCACCGCUGGACUGGGCCCGGCCGGCCCUUCCCUCCGGGGAACCCUCUGGC
rnacentral:rRNA from 1 species